UGGGGAAUAUUGCACAAUGGGCGCAAGCCUGAUGCAGCCAUGCCGCGUGUGUGAAGAAGGCCUUCGGGUUGUAAAGCACUUUCAGCGAGGAGGAAGGUGGUGAACUUAAUACGUUCAUCAAUUGACGUUACUCGCAGAAGAAGCACCGGCUAACUCCGUGCCAGCAGCCGCGGUAAUACGGAGGGUGCAAGCGUUAAUCGGAAUUACUGGGCGUAAAGCGCACGCAGGCGGUUUGUUAAGUCAGAUGUGAAAUCCCCGGGCUCAACCUGGGAACUGCAUUUGAAACUGGCAAGCUAGAGUCUCGUAGAGGGGGGUAGAAUUCCAGGUGUAGCGGUGAAAUGCGUAGAGAUCUGGAGGAAUACCGGUGGCGAAGGCGGCCCCCUGGACGAAGACUGACGCUCAGGUGCGAAAGCGUGGGGCAGCAAACAGGAUUAGAUACCCUGGUAGUCCACGCUGUAAACGAUGUCGAUUUGGAGGUUGUGCCCUUGAGGCGUGGCUUCCGGAGCUAACGCGUUAAAUCGACCGCCUGGGGAGUACGGCCGCAAGGUUAAAACUCAAAUGAAUUGACGGGUC
rnacentral:rRNA from 1 species